UAUAAACAAAAGACAUUCUUCUCAGAGAUGGCCUUAUUAAUCAGUUUAUUAUUCAAUGGGUCAGAAUUUGCAUUUUGGUGAGUAGUAUCGUUUUUUUCUCUUCAUGUUGCCGAAGUUGUAGUCACAUUACAAGAGAGCUCUAAAUUAACAGCACAGAUAUGCAGUUUCUUCAAGAGUAGUUAACUUUAUUUCAAAUGAAUUCUGCUUCCUCUGCCUGGCAUUUCUUUACCCGUUAUCUCCAAAUGUCCAAAUUCAACCUAUCACUUAAGACCUAUUUCAAAUGCUGUCUGCCCAUCACCUCCUUUGAAGCUUCUCUUCCCUCUUUCAACUGCCAUAGGGACAAUUUUUUCUAUAUCUCUCCUACAGAACAUAUCACUUUCUACCAUGCGUGCUGUUACUUAGUUGUGUGACUUACGUUGUCUACCAAAGUGAAAGCUUCUGAAGAUACCAUCACAGAGACCAGUACAGGGCCUCGCCCAACAUGGUCUCAGUAAAUAUCUCAAGAAUAAAUAAAGAGUGGGAAGAUGACACAGAGCGAGUCUGUUGAUAUCUACAAAAUAUGUUAUUUAACCUGGCAAUUCUCUAAUACCAACUUUUCUCCUGGGCUGGACACCAGCCUUUCCAAAUGGCUGAUUGAACUCUUCCCAUGAAUGAGCUGCCAGCGCCGUAUGGAAAAUGUUAUCUGUAGAAGGAACAAAAGUCAAACAUAUGAUGUGUCAACGAAUGACUUUCACUUUGAUUUUGAAAACACCACCAAGAGUUUGGAAUGGAAAGAUGCCGUGAAAGCAGCAUACAAGCCGGAGAGCCUACUGGAAGCAAGAGGGGAAAACCCAGCCGGGUAUGGGGGCUGCGGGGAGGAUGCCAGGUGGCGGAGACUGGAUUCAGGAUUUGAUGCUUGAACUGAACCUUCUUUUAAGAGAAACACAGCUGCACGGCACUGACAGAGAACUCGCAGAGUAAAAAGGAACCCACAAUAAACGAGCUGCUUUGCGCCAUGUUCACAAUUUCCUUGCAGGGUGGGGGCAGAGAUGGUGCGAGUAAACUGACCCAUUUGGAAGCCCACUUGGAAACUGGGUUCCUUUUUUAAAAAAAUAAAUUUAUUUCCAUAGGUUUUUGGGGAACAGGUGGUAUUCGGUUACAUGAGUAAGUUCUUCAGUUGUAAUUUGUGAGAUUUUGUGCACCCAUCACCCAAGAAGUAUACACUGAACUCAGUGUGUAGUUUUUUAUCCC
ensembl:lincRNA